GCUGGAUGUGGUGGUAUUUGCCUGUAGUCCCAGCUACUGAGGAGGCUGAGGUGGGAAGAUCGCCUGAGCCUGGGAGAUGGAGGCUGCAGUGAGCCAUGAUCGUGCCAGCGCACUUCAGCCUGGGUGACAGAGCGAGACCCUGUCUCAAAAGUAAGACUACCUGGGAGUGGGGGACCACCAGGUUGUCUAAGGAGGGGUGAAAACCGAACAGAUCAAAACUCCCAUGCUGAUCAGUAGUGGGAUUGUACCUUGGAAUAGCCACUGCAGUCCAGUCUGAGCCACAUAGCGAGACUCCAUUUCU
rnacentral:SRP_RNA from 1 species